GGCGUGUAGCAGCGUGCGGCUCAGUCCAGCCUCUCGGCGAGAACACCGGAGACAGCCCACCAGCCGCCACACAGAUGAGGCCUGCCACCACCACCACUGCCACCGCCGCCGCCCCCGCCGCCGCCACCUCUGCCAGCGCACCUCGCCAGACACCUGCUGCUGCGCGGCCCACGACUCCUCAACCUGAUGAGGCCACUGUCUCUCAAAUGCGGUUCUCCCGGUUGUCCCAGGUCGUGUACACCCUGGAGUAUGAGCCCAACCACAUUAUUUAAACACUGCUACCAGAAUAAACACUGUUCAACGUAAGCAGCGUUUGUCGUUUGUGGACAGAGUAA